AUAAAAUCUUGUCAUCAUGUAGACCACAAAAGGGCUCAGAUUCCUACUGAAAUAGAGGACUCAAAGGUCUGAGAAGGGGAGGGUGCCCAGUCCUGUCGCUGAGACAUUUGUGUGGAUGAUUAAAAUGGAGGCUAAAUUUGGGAUUCUGAAAGACGGAGGAAUUGCGCCGGGCAACACAACAUGGGGAACCCAGGUGCACUUUACCAUUCCUCCUGCAGGUUGACCACCUGCUGAUCCUAGACCUCCUGCAGCUGCAUAGAAAGCCAUGAAACAUGUCCCAAAUCCCACAUCCUAACAUCCCAGAUGAGUAUUGUGACCUAAUGGAAAUCUUCAGCAAGCCUCCACUGCACUGACAUUAUGACUGCACAGUUAAGGUGAUGCUGGGCACCAUGCUACUAAGUGAGGGAGUUUAACCCUAUAUCUAACUGAACAAUGAGCCAUGGAGGAACAUAUUCUGGAGUCAGUAAAACAAGGCUACACCAGACCCAUUACGUCUCCAUCAUCUGUACACAGACUUGUACACAGUGAAAUACCCCUGUCCUUUGUCACUUGAUCUGGCAGCCUUAGAACAGCUUUGAAUUGCCAAGUUCUUCACCAAGCCUGUCCUAUGCAGUGCUUACAAUCAACAAGGUGGAUGGGUGUAGACAGACUUCUAAGUCUGAGAGACCAGGGUAAGUGCCAUCCUUUCCUAAUGAUUUGGAGGAAAACCCAUGCUUAAUCCAGUUACCUUCUUCCCAAAAAGCUGGCAGAGGAUGAGCAAUGUUGGUUACCAGGAGCUACUGAAUGGUGAUUUUGGCUGAAGGGGGUAGAGCACACCUUUGCCAUAUAUACUGAUCACAAAUACUUUAAAUAUCCCUUAAUAAUGUAUAAUCCUCUUGUCCACCUCAUUGUGCUACCUUGCCAUGCAGCUCACCCUUUUCUGAUGCAUGUUUGGCUAUCAAUCCCCACUAUGUGCAUCAAACACCAACCCCACUGACUCUCUGGCUGUAGAUAACUGGCUCUGAUACAUUGAAGUGUUCGAGGCAACCCACUAAAGACUAAACUGAGCCAUUCAAACCCAACAAAUGUCAUUCUGAUCAACACAGAGAACCCUCUCAAUAGUAUCAUCCUGGUGACAGGGAAUCACAUGCCUGCAUUUUUCACAUGCCAUCAUUUUUUUCUGUUUGAUGAUCAACCUGACAUGUGCCUACCAUUGACAUUUAUU